UACGGGGGGGGCAAGCGUUGUUCGGAAUUACUGGGCGUAAAGGGCUCGUAGGCGGCCAACUAAGUCAGACGUGAAAUCCCCAGGCUCAACCUGGGAACUGCGUCUGAUACUGGAUGGCUUGAAUCCGGGAGAGGGAUGCAGAAUUCCAGGUGUAGCGGUGAAAUGCGUAGAUAUCUGGAGGUAUACCGGUGGCGAAGGCGGCAUCCUGGACCGGCAUUGACGCUGAGGAGCGAAAGCCAGGGGAGCAAACGGG
rnacentral:rRNA from 1 species